CUUCCAUCUGGAAGAAUCUGGAGACAGGUGCUGCAUGGCUGUCGUCAGCUCGUGUCGUGAGAUGUUGGGUUAAGUCCCGCAACGAGCGCAACCCUUGCCUUUAGUGCCAGCAGUUCGGCUGGGCACUCUAAAGGGACUGCCGGUGUUAAACCGGAGGAAGGUGGGGAUGACGUCAAGUCCUCAUGGCCUUUAUGACCAGGGCUACACACGUACUACAAUGGCCGAUACAAAGGGCAGCGACACUGCGAGGUGAAGCCAAUCCCGUAAAAUCGGUCUCAGUCCGGAUUGGAGUCUGCAACUCGACUCCAUGAAGUUGGAAUCGCUAGUAAUCGUGGAUCAGCAUGCCACGGUGAAUACGUUCCCGGGCCUU
rnacentral:rRNA from 1 species